GUGCACGCUGGCGGUAGGCCUAACACAUGCAAGUCGAACGGCAGCACAGUAAGAGCUUGCUCUUACGGGUGGCGAGUGGCGGACGGGUGAGGAAUACAUCGGAAUCUACUUUUUCGUGGGGGAUAACGUAGGGAAACUUACGCUAAUACCGCAUACGACCUACGGGUGAAAGCAGGGGAUCUUCGGACCUUGCGCGAUUGAAUGAGCCGAUGUCGGAUUAGCUAGUUGGCGGGGUAAAGGCCCACCAAGGCGACGAUCCGUAGCUGGUCUGAGAGGAUGAUCAGCCACACUGGAACUGAGACACGGUCCAGACUCCUACGGGAGGCAGCAGUGGGGAAUAUUGGACAAUGGGCGCAAGCCUGAUCCAGCCAUACCGCGUGGGUGAAGAAGGCCUUCGGGUCGUAAAGCCCUUUUGUUGGGAAAGAAAAGCAGCAGGUUAAUACCCCGCUGUUCUGACGGUACCCAAAGAAUAAGCACCGGCUAACUUCGUG
rnacentral:rRNA from 1 species